CACGUAGGGCGCAAGCGUUGUCCGGAAUUAUUGGGCGUAAAGAGCUCGUAGGCGGUCUGUUUGCGUCUGCUGUGAAAACUCGGGGCUUAACCCGAGCCUGCAGUGGAUACGGGCAGACUAGAGGUAGGUAGGGAGAAUGGAAUUCCCGGUGUAGCGGUGAAAUGCGCAGAUAUCGGGAGGAACACCGGUGGCGAAGGCGGUUCUCUGGGCCUUACCUGACGCUGAGGAGCGAAAGCGUGGGGAGCGAACAGG
rnacentral:rRNA from 1 species